rnacentral:rRNA from 1 species
AUUGAACGCUGGCGGCAGGCCUAACACAUGCAAGUCGAACGGUAACAGAGAGUAGCUUGCUACUUCGCUGACGAGUGGCGGACGGGUGAGUAAUGUCUGGGGAUCUGCCUGAUGGAGGGGGAUAACUACUGGAAACGGUAGCUAAUACCGCAUAAUGUCGCAAGACCAAAGCGGGGGACUUUCGGGCCUCGCACCAUCAGAUGAACCCAGAUGGGAUUAGCUAGUAGGUAGGGUAAUGGCUUACCUAGGCGACGAUCCCUAGCUGGUCUGAGAGGAUGACCAGCCACACUGGAACUGAGACACGGUCCAGACUCCUACGGGAGGCAGCAGUGGGGAAUAUUGCACAAUGGGCGCAAGCCUGAUGCAGCCAUGCCGCGUGCAUGAAGAAGGCCUUCGGGUUGUAAAGUACUUUCAGUCAGGAGGAAGGGUGUGAAAUUAAUACUUUCAUGCAUUGACGUUACUGACAGAAGAAGCACCGGCUAACUCCGUGCCAGCCGCCGCGGUAA